rnacentral:lncRNA from 1 species
GAGUCGAGGGCGAAGCCCGACUCCCGUAGGAGUCCGAGCGGAGUCUUCCUGCAAUUAAAGUCAAAGGCGAAGUCCGGCUCCCGUAGGAGUCCGGACAGGGCUUACCAGCAGUUGAUGUUGAGGACGGGGUCCGGCUCCCGUAGGAGUCCGGGCGGAGUCUACUUGCAGUUGAAGUUGUCGACGAAGCCCGGCUCCCGUAGGAGUCCGGGCGAAGUCUCCCUUGAGGUUGGAGUCAUGGGCGGAGCCCGGCUCCC